rnacentral:rRNA from 1 species
UACGGAGGAUGCGAGCGUUAUCCGGAUUUAUUGGGUUUAAAGGGUGCGCAGGCGGUCUGUUAAGUCAGCGGUCAAAGCCCGGGGCUCAACCCCGGCCCGCCGUUGAAACUGUUAUUCUAGAGUAUGGGAGAGGUAGGUGGAAUUCUUGGUGUAGGGGUAAAAUCCGUAGAGAUCAAGAGGAAUACUCAUUGCGAAGGCGACCUGCUAGAACAUAACUGACGCUGAUGCGCGAAAGCGUGGGGAGCAAACAGG